UUGGUGAGGUGGACCAGAAGGUUCAGAUGACCUGGGUGCAGCCCCGAGUACUGGACCUGCAGCAGAUCAAGGGCAUGAAGGACCGGUUGGACCUCUGGUGUGGGGAUGUGAAAAACAUGGCUGUGUUGGUGGAACAGCAGGCCCACGAUAUCCUCACCUAGACAUGCCUCCUCCCCUUGGUUUAGCCUCACCUAGACAGGCCUCCUCUCCCUGGUUUAGCCUCACCUAGACAGGCCCCUCUCCCUGGUUUAGCCUCACCUAGACAGGCCUUCUCUCCCUGGUUUAGCCUCACCUAGACAGGCCUCAUCCCCUUGGUUUUAUCCUCACCUAGACAGGCCUCCUCCCCUUGGUUUUAUCCUCACCUAGACAGGCCUCCUCCCCCUGGUUUAGCCUCACCUGGACAGGCCUCCUCUCCUCCCCUUGGUUUAUCCUCACCUGGACAGGCCUCCUCCCUCUGGUCUCCUCCAUGGCCCUGUCCAGAACAACCCCCUAACCUCUAGACACUUGUAGAGAUCAGAGAAGAUUUAAUAGGUGUAUGCAGUAGGAUGAUAGUACCUUGCCCUCUGAUAGUCUAGGUAGAGUUUUGGCCAUAUUGCUUCCACCAGUCAGAUCCUCUCAAGACAAGGGUCUAAGGUGUAGGUACCAGGAUGUUCUGGACAGGGCCCUUCCCCCAGCCUGUUCACCCCUAGAACAGACACCACCACAGGAAUCCUCUCAGACAAGGGUCUAAGGUGUAGGUACCAGGAUGUUCUUCUGGACAGGGCCCUUCCCCCAGCCUGUUCACCCCUAGAACAGACACCACCACAGGAAUCCUCUCUUCCUUCCUCUACCUACCUAUCUCCCAGAAGGACUGAUGCAUCCAACUUUUUCAGUUUUUUUUUAUUUGUAUUUUUGUUUGAGUUCUGUGUACGUUCUUGUUACUUUACAGAAGUAAAUAAAUAAAAGAAAACAUUGUUCAAUUUUGAAAUAAAAAUUACAAAUGCUG